UACGUAGGGUGCGAGCGUUGUCCGGAAUUAUUGGGCGUAAAGAGCUCGUAGGCGGUGUGUCACGUCGUUCGUGAAAACCUGCAGCUUAACUGUGGGCGUGCGGUCGAUACGGGCAUCACUGGAGUUCGGCAGGGGAGACUGGAAUUCCUGGUGUAGCGGUGAAAUGCGUAGAUAUCGUGAGGAAGACCAGUGGCGAAGGCGGGUCUCUGGACAGUUCCUGACGCUGAGGCGCGAAGGCCAGGGGAGCAAACGGG
rnacentral:rRNA from 1 species